rnacentral:rRNA from 1 species
GUCCUGGCCGUAAACGAUGGGCACUAACUAGAAGUCUCACCUGUGGGAUUUCUGGUGAAGCAAAUGUGAUAAGUGCCCCGCCUGGGAAGUAUGGUCGCAAGGCUAAAACUCAAAGGAAUUGACGGGGGCUCACACAAGCGGUGGAGCAUGUGGUUCAAUUCGACGCAACGCGAAGAACCUUACCUAGGCUUGACAUGCAGGGAUUAGAUCCGUGAAAGCGGUCGAUUGCCUUCGGGUGUAACCUGCACAGGUUUGCAUGGCUGUCGU